AGCAACCUGCAGGGGAAGAAGGACAAGCUAGAAAGUGUGGUGAAAACAAAGAUGCUGCAACAGUUUUAGCUCCUAAACAUCUUUAAAGACAUCUUUAAAGCACACCAAAGACUGGCUUAUAGAAUGCAGCUGUUACGCCACAGUAUGUACAGCUGGCUCUGCUGUGAAGUCCUGAAGUUGCAGUCUUGGCAGGAAAUAAAAGUGGAUAUUGGCAAUUUGUGUACGUGCAGCACAAACAAGUUAUCGCUCAGGCUGCUGACGGAGAUGCCUGCAAAAGAGAAUGGCCAUUUGACACCCAAUGCAACGCUGCUAGGAUUCUCGCAUGUGUUUCAGAACCUCUCCCAGGAACGCAGCAGCUUCUGUUCCCACUCCAAGAAACCCGACAGCUGAGAAGCUGCACAGCAGCACUGUGCUAACAUGUCAGCAGAGAGGCUGAAGAGCCUGCAAGGUGACAGACAAUCAGCUUGAACUGUACUCUUUAAGAUGGAAAAGAAACUUUCAGAUGCCUCUGUCCAUCAGAAGUAGGAAGAAUGCCUGUUUACAAACUGUCACGGACUUGACAAAGAGCUGCUUUGGCCAGUGAGGGGACCUAUGACCAAAACUUUACUUUUCAGCACCCCCUGGACAGAUGCUUCAUUCUAGCUCAGUAGGUGGAUGAGUGGUGUAAUUACUGGGGUACUACAAAGGAGAGGGACAAUUGGAACAACGUGGUCACUGUUGUCUUCCCCCCAGUGCCAACACUGGCCAAGGUGAAGUCUGACUUCAGUGAAGUAAGCCAAACCCCAUUUAUGUUACCAUUCCUACCUGUGAGAUUGGCAUAGUCGAUGCGUUGUUUGAUUUUG